GCAAACUUGGUCAUUUAGAGGAAGUAAAAGUCGUAACAAGGUCUCCGUUGGUGAACCAGCGGAGGGAUCAUUACAGAGUCUACCCGACUCCCAAACCCACCGCGAACCUACCUAUCUUGCUCGUUGCUUCGGCGGGUUGCCCCUGGGGAGGGGGCAUCCGGCCGCGAGGCACCCGCCGAAGUGACGCCCCCAAAACAUCUCUGCAGAAGCAGCCUCUGAGUGGGAAAACCAAAAAAUUCACAACUUUUAGCAAUGGAUCUCUUGGUUCCGGCAUCGAUGAAGAACGCAGC
rnacentral:misc_RNA from 1 species